GGUACGCACUACUGUCGGCCGGCUCGCGUGCCGGUUUUCCCGUCGUGGCCUUCGCCGGUCGCGGCGGGUGGCUGGCGAGUUUACUUUGAGAAAAUCAGAGUGCUCAACACAGGCGUCUAGCUUGAAUGAUUGUGCAUGGAAUAAUGGAAAAGGAUCACGGUCCUCUUUUAUUGGUUUUGUGGACUGAGAUAAUGGUUAACAGGGACAAACGGGGGCAUUCGUAUCGCUGCGUGAGAGGUGAAAUUCUUGGACCGUAGCGAGACGCCCGACUGCGAAAGCAUUUGCCAAGAAUGUCUUCAUUAAUCAAGAACGAAAGUCAGAGGUUCGAAGGCGAUCAGAUACCGCCCUAGUUCUGACCGUAAACGAUGCCAACUAGCGAUUCGCCGGUGGAUUUCACGCCCUGGUGAGUAGCUUCCCGGAAACGAAAGUCUUCCGGUUCCGGGGGAAGUAUGGUUGCAAAGCUGAAACUUAAAGGAAUUGACGGAAGGGCACCACCAGGAGUGGAGCCUGCGGCUUAAUUUGACUCAACACGGGGAAACUCACCCGGCCCGGACACCGUGAGGAUUGACAGAUUGAGAGCUCUUUCAUGAUUCGGUGGUUGGUGGUGCAUGGCCGUUCUUAGUUCGUGGAUCGAUUUGUCUGGUUUAUUCCGAUAACGAGCGAGACUCUAGCCUACUAAAUAGCCGCGAUAUUAUUUUCGUUGUGUCGCGCGCUUCUUAGAGGGAUUCGCGG
rnacentral:rRNA from 1 species